rnacentral:tRNA from 1 species
AAGCUAUUAGUUAAAAUAUAACAUAGAGACGUCAUCUCUAAAUUACACAAGUAUAGUUUU